AGUGAACGCUGGCGGUAGGCCUAACACAUGCGAGUCGAACGGCAGCACAGUAAGAGCUUGCUCUUACGGGUGGCGAGUGGCGGACGGGUGAGGAAUACAUCGGAAUCUACUUUUUCGUGGGGGAUAACGUAGGGAAACUUACGCUAAUACCGCAUACGACCUACGGGUGAAAGCAGGGGAUCUUCGGACCUUGCGCGAUUGAAUGAGCCGAUGUCGGAUUAGCUAGUUGGCGGGGUAAAGGCCCACCAAGGCGACGAUCCGUAGCUGGUCUGAGAGGAUGAUCAGCCACACUGGAACUGAGACACGGUCCAGACUCCUACGGGAGGCAGCAGUGGGGAAUAUUGGACAAUGGGCGCAAGCCUGUUCCAGCCAUACCGCGUGGGUGAAGAAGGCCUUCGGGUUGUAAAGCCCUUUUGUUGGGAAAGAAAAGCAGCAGGUUAAUACCCCGCUGUUCUGACGGUACCCAAAGAAUAAGCACCGGCUAACUUCGUG
rnacentral:rRNA from 1 species